rnacentral:rRNA from 1 species
UGCACGCUGGCGGCGUGCCUAAUACAUGCAAAUCGAGCGAACGGACGAGAAGCUUGCUUCUCUGAUGUUAGCGGCGGACGGGUGAGUAACACGUGGAUAACCUACCUAUAAGACUGGGAUAACUUCGGGAAACCGGAGCUAAUACCGGAUAAUAUUUUGAACCGCAUGGUUCAAAAGUGAAAGACGGUCUUGCUGUCACUUAUAGAUGGAUCCGCGCUGCAUUAGCUAGUUGGUAAGGUAACGGCUUACCAAGGCAAUGAUGCAUAGCCGACCUGAGAGGGUGAUCGGCCACACUGGAACUGAGACACGGUCCAGACUCCUACGGGAGGCAGCAGUAGGGAAUCUUCCGCAAUGGGCGAAAGCCUGACGGAGCAACGCCGCGUGAGUGAUGAAGGUCUUCGGAUCGUAAAACUCUGUUAUUAGGGAAGAACAUAUGUGUAAGUAACUGUGCACAUCUUGACGGUACCUAAUCAGAAAGCCACGGCUAACUACGUG